CGGGGUGUAGCUCAGUUGGCAAGAGCGCUAGCAUCGGGAGCUAGAGGUCGUGAGUCCGAGUCUCACCACCCCGA
rnacentral:tRNA from 1 species